CGGGGAUAUGAUGGGCUGUUUCCGCACGCUGGGUCCGCCCGUCUGUUAGCUGAUUGGCUGUUCGUGUAUUUCUGCCGGCAACAACGAACUCCAUGAAGACAGCUCCGCUUCGAUAGAAAUUCACUUCAAAACAAACAACAAGCUAAAGUUAUGUCUCGCCCAGACGCGCGCACGGCUUAAAGUCACUAACACGAGACAACACACUCACCAUGGCAGAAGCACCAGGACCGAGCGGCGAGUCUGCCGCUGCGUCGUCGUCAGUGGCACCACUAAUUUUGCUCAAAAAGCAAAAAUCCAAAAGUCACUUUUGGAACUAUUUUAGCUUUAAACAAGGCACAGACCGUAAAGCAAUGGACGAUGGCCGUCCGCUGUGCCGGCGCUGCCACCAAGCUAUAGGAGCCAAAGGAGGGAACACAUCCAACCUGAUAAAAAACCCAGUGUGGUCACCCAGAUUUAUAUGUCGAAUUACAGAGAGAGCCAUCCAACCCAAAAGGGAAGCAACCCAUGGCCAAGACCAUACCUUUUUUUUUUUUUUUAAUUUAAACUUUUUAAUAAAUGUUAUUCAUAAAAAUAUUUGUUUCAGUCUAAUUCCUGCUUCACCAGUAUUAUGUUUAUCAUGCACCAAACAACAUUAUAAGUAAUUAAUAAGUAUUUAUAACUUGUACAAAUACAUUGCAGUUCAUAAAAAUAAUAAUAAUAAAAAAAGGCUGCAGUAUCGCGAUAAUACCCGGAACCGUGAUACUUUGUCUGGUAUAGUAUCGUGGUUACUCAUUUUGGUAUCGUGACAACUCUACUGCCAGCUUUGCCGGAUUGCUUUGGAAAGACAGCACAACUCACCACGUUACUGCAGCAGCUUGCUUGUUGUGAGGAAGCCUUGACAAGUCGAUUACCGUGCGCAGUUAGAAAUGCUCAAUUCCAUUCUUUUCCCUGUCAGCUCUCGAUAAAAACUGUUAUAAACUGGUAGGCAAGACAAAUAUGAAUUUGGAUUGCAUUUCAAUGAAGUAAUAAUCAUACAUUUUCAUCCUUGAGCUGAGGAACUCUACUGCACUCGGUAAUCGACUCAUCAGGGCAUCCCCACAACGAGCAAGCUGCUGCAAGAGAGUGGUGAGUUGUGUUGACUUUUCAGUAGAAUCCGGCAAAGCUAGCAGAUGUUUGAUGCCUCGAACUAUGUGCUGCAUCCCUAUUUCUACUGUUGCUGAAGUUUGGUGCUGUUCUGAGUAUUAUUUGUGGCUAUGAGUGGCUUUUUGUUGGCGGUUUCAUGUAGGCGGCAUAGACUGCAGUGUAUUGGUAUUGUGCGGUCUUUUCUGAGGUUGCUAAAACUACACAAGCUAGCAGUCGGAAAACUUGAUCUAUCAAUCAAUCAAUCAACUUUAUUUAUAGAGCACUUUUCAUACACGAGUAUGUAGCACAAAGUGCUUUACACAGGAAACAUAAAACAAUAAUAAAGAAAGCACCUCCCUCCCACCCUCCGUACUACAUACAUGCACACAUACGUACCCACACACACAUGCACACAUACGUGUACACACACACACACACACACACACACACACACACACCUGCACACUCUUACUACUGGCAAUAGGGAGACAUGGCAAGGCACUGAGGAUUGAGGAAACGCCACCUUUGGGGCCAUCCACACUGGGAGGAGUCACAGGCUGUGCCACGGGGGGCACCAGUGCCCAGGCCCCCCGACCCUGACAGACAACAGCUGGCCGGGCCGAAGGGACCCAAGGACAGCACCCCCAGCAGCAGCCCAGACACAGUUCCCAGUGUGGAGGACCCCCCUGAGGAAACUCUGGAGUUAACCCUUAAAAACUAAAAACAUAAGAUAGGAUAAAAACCCUGACAAAAUAUAAUUAAAUGGAGUGAACAGUUAAAAGGAUAAAAUACAUAAGAUAAUGAUAAAUAAAAUAAAAUAGUAUGGAAGAUAAAUAAAAAUAAAAUUAUUUAAGAUGAAAAUAUAUUUUUUUUAAAAACAAGAUAGAAACAACAACAUAAAAUACGAUAGAACCACAUAAGAAUGGAAUAAGAAUUUAAAAUAUUAGUUAAAAGCCUGAUUAAAAAGGUGUGUCUUUGACCUUCCCUUAAAAAUAUCAACAGUCUCUGCAGACCUGAGGUUCUCCGGCAGGCUGUUCCACAAGUGGGGGCCAUAGUGGCUAAAUGCCGUCUCACCGUGGGUUUUAGUUCUUGGUUUUGGUAUGGAUAAAAGGCCAGAGCCGGAGGACCUCAGGGUCCGCGAGGGUUGAUAUGGUAAAAGCAGGUCAGAUAAGUAGGAGGGCGCAAGGCCGUUAAGACAUUUAAAAACCAGUAAAAGAACCUUAAAAUCGAUCCUGAAGCGCACGGGGAGCCAAUGCAGUGACUCUAAAACUGGUGUAAUGUGCUCCCGCCCUUUGGUCCUCGUCAGCACUCGUGCGGCUGAGUUUUGUAAUAAUUGGAGAUUUAGAGUACUCUUUUUGGGAAGACCAGAGAGCAGGGCAUUACAAUAAUCUAAGCGACAGGAAAUAAAAGCAUGCAUUAGCACCUCUGUACUGGCCUGGGAGAGAAACGGGCGGACUCUGGCUAUGUUCUUAAGAUGAUAAAAACCUAUUUUUGUCAUAUUUCUGAUAUGUGGAAUACAAUUCAGCUCAGAAUCAAAAAUCACGCCCAGAUUUUUUACUGAUUGUGUUGGUUUAAGAUCUUGUAGUUUUGGAAAAAGUUUCUCUCUCUGGCCUUCAGGAUCUAUAACUAAAACCUCAGUUUUGUCCUGGUUGAGCUGUAGGAAAUUCACUGCCAUCCAUGACUUGAUGUCUACAAUGCAGUUAAGAAGGGCAUCAAUUUGCUCUGUGUCAUCAGGAGACACGGCAAUGUACAGUUGUUUAUCAUCAGCGUAGCUAUGGAAGCUGAUGCCGUGUCUCCUGAUGACAUCCCCAAGAGGAAGCAUGUAAAGAUUAAAAAGAAGUGGACCUAAAAUUGACCCUUGGGGAACCCCACAUCCAAUUUCAUGGGUUCCUGAGGAGCAUGUAUCCAUACUUACAUAAAAGCAUCGAUCUGUGAGAUAGGAACAAAACCAGUUGAGGACAGUACCAGAGAGGCCGACCAGAUGGCUGAGUCUGUUUAAUAAAAUGUGAUGGUCUACUGUAUCAAAAGCAGCGCUUAGAUCCAGUAGAACCAACACUGUGAGCUUUUUGUUAUCUAAAUUCCAUCUGAUGUCAUUUAAAAUCUUUAAAAGUGCUGUCUCGGUACUGUGGUUUCUCCUAAAACCAG
rnacentral:lncRNA from 1 species